rnacentral:rRNA from 1 species
ACGCUCGACACCUACGGGAGGCAGCAGUGGGGAAUAUUGCACAAUGGGGGAAACCCUGAUGCAGCGACGCCGCGUGAAGGAAGAAGUAUCUCGGUAUGUAAACUUCUAUCAGCAGGGAAGAAAGUGACGGUACCUGACUAAGAAGCCCCGGCUAACUACGCACCAGCAGCCGCGGUAAUCUGAGCGGGCUGGCAAGGC